rnacentral:misc_RNA from 1 species
GAAAUGCGAUAAGUAAUGUGAAUUGCAGAAUUCAGUGAAUCAUCGAAUCUUUGAACGCACAUUGCGCUCGCCAGUAUUCUGGCGAGCAUGCCUGUUCGAGCGUCAUUUCAACCAUCAAGCUCUGCUUGCGUUGGGGAUCCGCGGUUGCCCGCGGUCCCUCAAAAACAGUGGCGGGCUCGCUAGUCACACCGAGCGUAGUAACUCUACAUCGCUAUGGUCGUGCGGCGGGUUCUUGUCGUAAAACCCCCAAUUUCUAAGGUUGACCUCGGAUCAGGUAGGAAUACCCGCUGAACUUAAGC